rnacentral:tRNA from 1 species
GCAGUGGUGGUUCAGUGGUAGAAUUCUCAUCUUCCAUGCAGGAGACCCAGGUUCAAUUCCCAGCCAAUGCA